UACGUAGGUGGCAAGCGUUGUCCGGAAUUAUUGGGCGUAAAGCGCGCGCAGGCGGUCCUUUAAGUCUGAUGUGAAAGCUCACGGCUCAACCGUGGAGGGUCAUUGGAAACUGGGGGACUUGAGUACAGAAGAGAAGAGUGGAAUUCCACGUGUAGCGGUGAAAUGCGUAGAGAUGUGGAGGAACACCAGUGGCGAAGGCGACUCUUUGGUCUGUAACUGACGCUGAGGCGCGAAAGCGUGGGGAGCAAACAGG
rnacentral:rRNA from 1 species